rnacentral:rRNA from 1 species
CCUACGGGGGGCAGCAGUGAGGAAUAUUGGUCAAUGGACGAGCGUCUGAACCAGCCAAGUAGCGUGAAGGAUGACUGCCCUAUGGGUUGUAAACUUCUUUUAUAAGGGAGUAACACGAGGCACGUGUGCCUUUUUGCAGGUAAUUUCUGAAUAAGGAUCGGCGAAAUCCGGGCCAGCAGCCGCGGUAAUACGGAGGAUCCGAGCGUUAUCCGGAUUUAUUGGGUUUAAAGGGAGCGUAGAUGGGUUGUUAAGUCAGUUGUGAAAGUUUGCGGCUCAACCGUCACAUUGCAAUUGAUACUGGCAGUCUUGAGUACAGUUGAGGUAGGCGGAAUUCGUGGUGUAGCGGUGAAAUGCUUAGAUAUCACGAAGAACCCCGAUUGCGAAGGCAGCUUACUAAACUGCGACUGACAUUGAUGCUCGAAAGUGUGGGUAUCAAACAGGAUUAGAUACCCGUGUAGUC